rnacentral:rRNA from 1 species
UAGGGAAUAUUGGGCAAUGGAGGGAACUCUGACCCAGCCAUGCCGCGUGCAGGAAGAAGGCCCUCUGGGUUGUAAACUGCUUUUGGACAGGGACAAAAAGAUCAUGCGUGGUCAAUUGAGUGUACUGUCAGAAUAAGCACCGGCUAACUCCGUGCCAGCAGCCGCGGUAAUACGGAGGGUGCAAGCGUUGUCCGGAUUUAUUGGGUUUAAAGGGUGCGUAGGUGGCUUAAUAAGUCAGUGGUGAAACCCCUGGGCUUAACCCAGGGAGUGCCAUUGAUACUGUUAAGCUUGAAUUACCUCUAGGCGGGCGGAAUGGAUGGUGUAGCGGUGAAAUGCAUAGAUAUCAACCAGAACGCCGACAGCGAAGGCAGCUCGCUGGGGGUAUAUUGACACUGAGGCA